rnacentral:lncRNA from 10 species
GGAAGAGUUGAAUGCAUUACAGAGAAGUGAGAAAGAUCAAAGGACACAAAAACAUGGGGAUACGUAGUGACCCUCAUCUCCUCUUCCUGUUUCUCAUCAAAAUAGUGAAUUUCUGUACUUGGAGACCUCUCAAAUGAAAUUCUGUUCAACGUUCCAUUUUACCUAAAGUAAACAUGGUUUAGUGAAUUUCUCUCUAUUUUAGAGUCUGUGGAAUCAAAGAAUACUAAGGAAGUGUCUGGAGAAAACUAUUCCAAGGAAAGAAGCAAUAAGGUACUCUAAUUCUUUGCCAUCUCUGCUUUUAAGAUAAAAA